rnacentral:rRNA from 1 species
GAUAGUGAACCAGUACCGUGAGGGAAAGGCGAAAAGAACCCCGGCGAGGGGAGUGAAAAAGAACCUGAAACCGUGUACGUACAAGCAGUGGGAGCACGCUUAGGCGUGUGACUGCGUACCUUUUGUAUAAUGGGUCAGCGACUUAUAUUCUGUAGCAAGGUUAACCGAAUAGGGGAGCCGAAGGGAAACCGAGUCUUAACUGGGCGUUAAGUUGCAGGGUAUAGACCCGAAACCCGGUGAUCUAGCCAUGGGCAGGUUGAAGGUUGGGUAACACUAACUGGAGGACCGAACCGACUAAUGUUGAAAAAUUAGCGGAUGACUUGUGGCUGGGGGUGAAAGGCCAAUCAAACCGGGAGAUAGCUGGUUCUCCCCGAAAGCUAUUUAGGUAGCGCCUCGUGAAUUCAUCUCCGGGGGUAGAGCACUGUUUCGGCAAGGGGGUCAUCCCGACUUACCAACCCGAUGCAAACUGCGAAUACCGGAGAAUGUUAUCACGGGAGACACACGGCGGGUGCUAACGUCCGUCGUGAAGAGGGAAACAACCCAGACCGCCAGCUAAGGUCCCAAAGUCAUGGUUAAGUGGGAAACGAUGUGGGAAGGCCCAGACAGCCAGGAUGUUGGCUUAGAAGCAGCCAUCAUUUAAAGAAAGCGUAAUAGCUCACUGGUCGAGUCGGCCUGCGCGGAAGAUGUAACGGGGCUAAACCAUGCACCGAAGCUGCGGCAGCGACGCUUAUGCGUUGUUGGGUAGGGGAGCGUUCUGUAAGCCUGUGAAGGUGUGCUGUGAGGCAUGCUGGAGGUAUCAGAAGUGCGAAUGCUGACAUAAGUAACGAUAAAGCGGGUGAAAAGCCCGCUCGCCGGAAGACCAAGGGUUCCUGUCCAACGUUAAUCGGGGCAGGGUGAGUCGACCCCUAAGGCGAGGCCGAAAGGCGUAGUCGAUGGGAAACAGGUUAAUAUUCCUGUACUUGGUGUUACUGCGAAGGGGGGACGGAGAAGGCUAUGUUGGCCGGGCGACGGUUGUCCCGGUUUAAGCGUGUAGGCUGGUUUUCCAGGCAAAUCCGGAAAAUCAAGGCUGAGGCGUGAUGACGAGGCACUACGGUGCUGAAGCAACAAAUGCCCUGCUUCCAGGAAAAGCCUCUAAGCAUCAGGUAACAUCAAAUCGUACCCCAAACCGACACAGGUGGUCAGGUAGAGAAUACCAAGGCGCUUGAGAGAACUCGGGUGAAGGAACUAGGCAAAAUGGUGCCGUAACUUCGGGAGAAGGCACGCUGAUAUGUAGGUGAAGUCCCUCGCGGAUGGAGCUGAAAUCAGUCGAAGAUACCAGCUGGCUGCAACUGUUUAUUAAAAACACAGCACUGUGCAAACACGAAAGUGGACGUAUACGGUGUGACGCCUGCCCGGUGCCGGAAGGUUAAUUGAUGGGGUCAGCGCAAGCGAAGCUCUUGAUCGAAGCCCCGGUAAACGGCGGCCGUAACUAUAACGGUCCUAAGGUAGCGAAAUUCCUUGUCGGGUAAGUUCCGACCUGCACGAAUGGCGUAAUGAUGGCCAGGCUGUCUCCACCCGAGACUCAGUGAAAUUGAACUCGCUGUGAAGAUGCAGUGUACCCGCGGCAAGACGGAAAGACCCCGUGAACCUUUACUAUAGCUUGACACUGAACAUUGAGCCUUGAUGUGUAGGAUAGGUGGGAGGCUUAGAAGUGUGGACGCCAGUCUGCAUGGAGCCGACCUUGAAAUACCACCCUUUAAUGUUUGAUGUUCUAACGUUGACCCGUAAUCCGGGUUGCGGACAGUGUCUGGUGGGUAGUUUGACUGGGGCGGUCUCCUCCUAAAGAGUAACGGAGGAGCACGAAGGUUGGCUAAUCCUGGUCGGACAUCAGGAGGUUAGUGCAAUGGCAUAAGCCAGCUUGACUGCGAGCGUGACGGCGCGAGCAGGUGCGAAAGCAGGUCAUAGUGAUCCGGUGGUUCUGAAUGGAAGGGCCAUCGCUCAACGGAUAAAAGGUACUCCGGGGAUAACAGGCUGAUACCGCCCAAGAGUUCAUAUCGACGGCGGUGUUUGGCACCUCGAUGUCGGCUCAUCACAUCCUGGGGCUGAAGUAGGUCCCAAGGGUAUGGCUGUUCGCCAUUUAAAGUGGUACGCGAGCUGGGUUUAGAACGUCGUGAGACAGUUCGGUCCCUAUCUGCCGUGGGCGCUGGAGAACUGAGGGGGGCUGCUCCUAGUACGAGAGGACCGGAGUGGACGCAUCACUGGUGUUCGGGUUGUCAUGCCAAUGGCACUGCCCGGUAGCUAAAUGCGGAAGAGAUAAGUGCUGAAAGCAUCUAAGCACGAAACUUGCC